rnacentral:misc_RNA from 1 species
CAUGCUCAGCGGGCAUAAAAGCUGCUUAGAGUGUUCCUCUUUUUAGGUUUUAGGACUGCAAAGAUGUUUCGCCGCACGGCCGCGAAGCUGUACCGCUACCAGGAGUUUGAGAUGCACAAUGAGGCCAAGUACCCGUUCAACUAUCCACGAGAGGCUCCGAACACAUCUGUUUUCCAUCAGUACCAGCUGAAUUUCUGGAUGUUUUGGGGCUAUGGCCGUCAGGAGCUUUGGAUUGACCGUGACAAUCGCCGCUACGAAACGACUUGGGAGAUGUUUCGCCGUCUAUUAAUGUGGUUCUUUCCGUGCUACUUUGUGUUCCCGUUUGGCCUGCCUAAAUUUAUCGCCGCCAACGCAUUUGGUGAAUACGGAGAAAAACCAUAUCUCGACGCGAUGAUGCACUCGCCAAUGGACAAUCACUACAUCGAAUGGGGCGGCAGCACCCUUGAUGCAGAGUGGCUGCGCCACAUACACUCGAAGGAGUCCUUUUAAAUUUCUACGACCGCUUUCCUGCUUCUCCUUUUGAAGAAUCUGCUAGUAGGUUUUUCUUUGAGCUUCUCUACAUAAAUGUUCGAGACGUAAGUUGGAUGAGGAGAACGGUCUUUUCCAACCUCCAGCGAAGGUCUCUGUCGGUAGUUUUUUUUUUAUAGCCACUUUGUGUGCCAAGCAUAUCGAAGUCUCAUUUGUCGCAUCUACAGUGAAACUUGUACUAUAGUAGGGAUAAGGGAGGCCGCAAG